AGUGAAGCGGCAACAGCUCAAAUUUGAAAUCUGGCCCUUGUGGUCCGAGUUGUAAUUUGUAGAGGAUGCUUUUGGUGAGGUACCUUCCGAGUUCCCUGGAACGGGACGCCAUAGAGGGUGAGAGCCCCGUCUGGUUGGAUACCGAGCCUCUGUAAAGCUCCUUCGACGAGUCGAGUAGUUUGGGAAUGCUGCUCUAAAUGGGAGGUAUAUGUCUUCUAAAGCUAAAUAUUGGCCAGAGACCGAUAGCGCACAAGUAGAGUGAUCGAAAGAUGAAAAGCACUUUGAAAAGAGGGUUAAAUAGUACGUGAAAUUGUUGAAAGGGAAGCGCUUGUGACCAGACUUGGGCUUGGUUAAUCAUCCAGGGUUCUCCCUGGUGCACUUGGCCAGCCCAGGCCAGCAUCAGUUUGUCGCGGGGGAUAAAGGCGUCGGGAAUGUGGCUCCCUCGGGAGUGUUAUAGCCCUUCGUGUAAUACCCUGCUUUAGACUGAGGUUCGCGCAUCUGCAAGGAUGCUGGCGUAAUGGUCAUCAGCGACCCGUCUUGAAACACGGACCAAGGAGUCGUCUUCGUAUGCGAGUGUUCGGGUGUCAAACCCCUACGCGUAAUGAAAGUGAACGCAGGUGAGAGCUUCGGCGCAUCAUCGACCGAUCCUGAUGUUCUCGGAUGGAUUUGAGUAAGAGCAUACGGGGCCGGACCCGAAAGAAGGUGAACUAUGCCUGUGUAGGGUGAAGCCAGAGGAAACUCUGGUGGAGGCUCGCAGCGGUUCUGACGUGCAAAUCGAUCGUCAAACAUGGGCAUGGGGGCGAAAGACUA
rnacentral:rRNA from 1 species